rnacentral:rRNA from 1 species
GACGAACGCUGGCGGCGUGCUUAACACAUGCAAGUCGAACGAAGUGGCGAACGGGUGAGUAAUACGUGGGUAACCUGCCCUCCUUUUUGGGAUAAGCCUUGGUAACGGGGUCUAAUACCGAAUAAAGGGGGAUGGGCUCGCGGCCUAUCAGUGGGUUGGUGGGGUGAUGGCCUACCAAGGCGGUGACGGGUAGCCAGCCUGAGAGGGGAACCGGCCACAUUGGGACGGAGAAGCGGCCCAGAGGAGUACGGGGGGCGGCAGUGGGGGCUAUGGGCCAAUGGGCGAAAGCCUGAUGCAGCGACGGCGCAGAAGGGAUGAGGGCUGUCGGGUUGUAAAAGUCGUUCGGUAUCGAACGGGUAGGUGGAGAAGAAGCGCCGGCUAACUACGUGCCAGCAGCCGCGGUAAUAC